ACGGAGGGUGCAAGCGUUGUUCGGAAUUACUGGGCGUAAAGGGCGCGUAGGUGGUUUUGUAAGUCAGAUGUGAAAUCCUUCAGCUCAACUGGAGAACUGCAUCUGAUACUGUAGGACUAGAGUGCAGGAGAGGGAAACGGAAUUCCAGGUGUAGAGGUGAAAUUCGUAGAUAUCUGGAGGAACACCGGUGGCGAAGGCGGUUUCCUGGCCUGACACUGACACUGAGGCGCGAAAGCGUGGGGAGCAAACAG
rnacentral:rRNA from 1 species